ACCGAAGUAGCGGAACUGGCAGAUGCACAGGACUUAAAUUCUGCGAUGGUUAAACAUGGUACCGGUUCAAUUCCAGUCUUCGGCA
rnacentral:tRNA from 1 species